rnacentral:lncRNA from 1 species
GAAAACAAAGACUAUUCGAACAGUCUCAGACUCAUAGAGCUGCCCGCUCAAUACCAAACCUAGUACAACGCGACACUACUGUCGAACUUGCGACAUUAAACAAAGUGCUUAGUGGGAGACAACCCACCAUUUUUUCUUUUUGUUAUUUUUCUUACAAUCUAAUUUUUUUUUCCUUCUUUAAUUUUCUUCUUUAUUUUGUUUGCUCCCCCCUUCUUGAUUCUUU